CCUAUUAGGCUGACAAACAAGAUUAACCAUCACAAACCAGUCCACUGAAGCCAAAGCACAGAGGGAAGUCAGUCAGAAAGUGUUUGCAGAGAAGAAAGCACAAGAUGGACUGACAGACACACUCCCAAUUAAAGGUUUCAGAGAGAAUGGGAAGCCACAUGCAAGCUCACACUGCUUGGUAAGAGACUGAGAUCCAAUAAUGAACAAUGAAGACAUUGGGAGAGGGACCCUGCAUCUUGCCUGGACCACACAGCAGAGGAGGCCCCGACGGUGGGGGCACAGAUUUUCUUUGAAGAACAACCCCACAGCUAAACAGAAAAAAACAAAACAAAACAAAAAG
rnacentral:sRNA from 1 species